GCAGGUUUAGUAUAACGGCUAUUACAGUUGAUUUGUAAUCAUCAAAUGGGGGUUCGAUUCCCUCAACCUGCUCCA
rnacentral:tRNA from 1 species